UGGUUUUGAUUUUCUCUCAUUUUGCAAACGCUUCUGGGCAAAGGAUACCGAAGCCUUUAAUUAAUAUAUGAUUUUUUUCCUGAUAAAAAAAAAAUUAAGUGUAUAUUAAUGUGGUUAUAGACGUAUACACUUCGAAUAAAUUUUGAAACAAAAAAUUAUGUAAAGUAAAUGUCAAAAAUGCAAAGGAGGCAAAGGAGAAGGAAGCGAUUAAUUUUUUGAAUAAACAAAGUGUAUAUCCCACAUAGUUAUCCAAGUAGAUGGAGCAUGGAACUAGCGUGUGGAUAAAUGGAAGAAAUAAAAUCAAAUCCCAUACUUACCUGGACGGGGUCGAUGGGUGAUCUAGAAGGCUCAUGGCCUAGGUUUGUAACCUCCAUUGCACUUAGGAGGGUGCUUGCCUAAAGUCGAUCCAAGUGGUCGAACUUACGUCAUAAUUUGUGGUAGAGGGGGUUUGCGUGCGCGCAGCCCCUACCUAAUUCAAUGCAAAUUUAUAGGGAUAUUUGAUGUGUUGAAACUGUUGAUAUGCAAAUUUAUAGGGAUAUUUGAUGUGUUGAAACUGUUGAUGUAUCUAAUUCAAUGCAAUUUACCUAAUUCAAUGCAAAUUUAUAGGGAUAUUUGAUGUGUUGAAACUGUUGAUGUAUCUAAUUCAAUGCAAUU
rnacentral:lncRNA from 1 species